rnacentral:rRNA from 1 species
GGUUAAGCGACUAAGCGUACACGGUGGAUGCCCUGGCAGUCAGAGGCGAUGAAGGACGUGCUAAUCUGCGAUAAGCGUCGGUAAGGUGAUAUGAACCGUUAUAACCGGCGAUUUCCGAAUGGGGAAACCCAGUGUGUUUCGACACACUAUCAUUAACUGAAUCCAUAGGUUAAUGAGGCGAACCGGGGGAACUGAAACAUCUAAGUACCCCGAGGAAAAGAAAUCAACCGAGAUUCCCCCAGUAGCGGCGAGCGAACGGGGAGCAGCCCAGAGCCUGAAUCAGUAUGUGUGUUAGUGGAAGCGUCUGGAAAGGCGCGCGAUACAGGGUGACAGCCCCGUACACAAAAAUGCACAUGCUGUGAGCUCGAUGAGUAGGGCGGGACACGUGGUAUCCUGUCUGAAUAUGGGGGGACCAUCCUCCAAGGCUAAAUACUCCUGACUGACCGAUAGUGAACCAGUACCGUGAGGGAAAGGCGAAAAGAACCCCGGCGAGGGGAGUGAAAAAGAACCUGAAACCGUGUACGUACAAGCAGUGGGAGCACGCUUAGGCGUGUGACUGCGUACCUUUUGUAUAAUGGGUCAGCGACUUAUAUUCUGUAGCAAGGUUAACCGAAUAGGGGAGCCGAAGGGAAACCGAGUCUUAACUGGGCGUUAAGUUGCA